rnacentral:rRNA from 1 species
UACGUAGGUGGCGAGCGUUGUCCGGAAUUAUUGGGCGUAAAGCGCGCGCAGGUGGUUUCUUAAGUCUGAUGUGAAAGCCCACGGCUCAACCGUGGAGGGUCAUUGGAAACUGGGGAACUUGAGUGCAGAAGAGGAAAGUGGAAUUCCAAGUGUAGCGGUGAAAUGCGUAGAGAUUUGGAGGAACACCAGUGGCGAAGGCGACUUUCUGGUCUGUAACUGACACUGAGGCGCGAAAGCGUGGGGAGCGAACAGG